rnacentral:rRNA from 1 species
GACGAACGCUGGCGGCGUGCUUAACACAUGCAAGUCGAACGGUGAAGCUCCAGCUUGCUGGAGUGGAUCAGUGGCGAACGGGUGAGUAACACGUGAGCAACCUGCCCCGGACUCUGGAAUAAGCGCUGGAAACGGCGUCUAAUACUGGAUACGAGAAGGGUCCGCAUGGGCACUUUCUGGAAAGUUUUGCGGUUGGGGAUGGGCUCGCGGCCUAUCAGCUUGUUGGUGAGGUAAUGGCUCACCAAGGCUACGACGGGUAGCCGGCCUGAGAGGGCGACCGGCCACACUGGGACUGAGACACGGCCCAGACUCCUACGGGAGGCAGCAGUGGGGAAUAUUGCACAAUGGGCGAAAGCCUGAUGCAGCGACGCCGCGUGAGGGAUGACGGCCUUCGGGUUGUAAACCUCUUUCAGCAGGGAAGAAGCGAAAGUGACGGUACCUGCAGAAGAAGCACCGGCUAACUACGUG